UACAGAGGGUGCGAGCGUUGUCCGGAAUCGCUGGGCGUAAAGGGCGCGUAGGUGGCGCGACAAGUCGGUGGUGAAAGCUCGACGCUUAACGUCGAGUCGGCCACUGAUACUGUCGGGCUUGAGCACUGUAGAGGCAGGUGGAAUUCCUGGUGUAGCGGUGAAAUGCGUAGAUAUCAGGAGGAAUACCGGUGGCGAAAGCGACUCUCUGGACGGUAACUGACGCUGAGGCACGAAAGCGUGGGGAGCAAACAGG
rnacentral:rRNA from 1 species